AACACAUCAAAUGAACACCGGGGAUAGAUGAUAUCUGCUUUUUUGGUUGCAAGGUCUUUCUUAUCUCUAAUUGUGGCGAAGAUCUUUGACCAUGACCAAAUUUUAGGGUUCAAGAGGGUGUUGGUUUUUUUUUGUUUUCUGGUCCAUACAAAAUCAGAUUAUAAAGACCAACUGGAUUAUGAAUGAGUACAAUGUAACUCGGGCUACAUUUUCAGACGAUGAGAGGAAAGAAAUUGGAGACAAGAAGAGGUAUCCAAUUGGUGGAGGAUAAAAGGCUAGAAUUGCUGAGGAGUCAGGGUGGACGAUUCAAAUUUGUAGCCCUGAGUUAUUCAAGGCCCGACAAGAGGUUGCUGCACAGUAGUUUUUAUGUGUGUACUGGUUUGUUUACGAAGUAAUGGCAGCAGCCGCAGUUGGUUGAUUGUACUUUUAUACUAGAUUUUACAAUGAUCGGAAUAGGAGAUGAACUUUACAUGGCUGGAGAAGAAGAAAUCUAUGUUGUUACAGUUGGGAUCAAGAGACCAACAUUAAGCAAAUUUGUCAACCUCUAUUGAAUUA